UACAGAGGUCUCAAGCGUUGUUCGGAUUCAUUGGGCGUAAAGGGUGCGUAGGCGGCGCGGUAAGUCGGGUGUGAAAUCUCGGAGCUUAACUCCGAAACUGCAUUCGAUACUGCCGUGCUUGAGGACUGGAGAGGAGACUGGAAUUUACGGUGUAGCGGUGAAAUGCGUAGAUAUUCGCAAGAACACCAGUGGCGAAGGCGGCUCACUGCCCGAUACUGACGCUGAGGUGCGAAAGCGUGGGGAGCAAACAGG
rnacentral:rRNA from 1 species